UAGUAGUCAUACGCUCGUCUCAAAGAUUAAGCCAUGCAUGUGUGAGUAUAAAUAGUUAACUUUGAAACUGCGAAUGGCUCAUUAUAUCAGUUAUAGUUUAUUUGAUGAAGAAUACUAAUUGGAUAACCGUAGUAAUUCUAGAGCUAAUACAUGUAUAAAGUCUUGUAGACUGCAUUUAUUAGAAUGAAAACCAUAGGUUUCGGCCUAUUCGUGAGUAAUAAUAACUAAUCAUAUCGUAUGCUUAAGUAACGAUGUGUCUUUCAAGUUUCUGCCCUAUCAGCUUUCGAUGGUAGUGUAUCGGACUACCAUGGCAGUAACGGGUAACGAAGAA
rnacentral:rRNA from 1 species